ensembl:snoRNA SNORD16 Small nucleolar RNA SNORD16
UGCCGUGAUGUUGUAAUUUGCGUCCUACUCUGUGCUGGGUGACAGUCGCCUGCUGUCAGUGUCCUGGUGCAGGUGGUUGACGAACACUUAACACUGAGCA